rnacentral:lncRNA from 1 species
AAGUUUUGUAAAAGUGGUUUUUUCAAACCCUGUGCUCAAUAGUAAUUGAGACCUUUUCAUACUUUUAUUUUAUUAUUAAAUGUUCGGCUUGAUUGCUUUUAUUAUCGAGAUGCGAAGCAUCUUCGAGAAAAUAAUAUAUAGCAGUGUCGAACUCCUCAUAGGCACGAAAGCCAUCUAAGGAAAUUCAAAUACCGUGAAUAAUUUACAAGCUGCUUACAGCUGAAAAUGUCCAUCAUGGGGGAUCAGAAAUGUAAAUAAAGCAAUAAAUGCGAUCAACCGCCACAAAGUAAACUCCAGGCGAGACGGAAUGUAAAUAAAGCAGUAAAAGGCCACGAAUUAAACUCCAAGCCUGACAGGAAUAUAUAUAUAUAUAUAUAUAUAUAUAUAUAUAUAUAUGUACAAAUAUAUAUAUAAAAGCAGUAAAUGCACCGGAUGUGAAUCCAGGCUCAUCGGAUAUGUCCGACAAUAAUUAUAUAUAUAAGUAUAUAUAUAUAUAUAUAUAUAUAUAUAUAUAUAUAAAAGCAGUAAAUGCUCUGGAUGUAAAAUCCAGGCUCAUCGGACAUAAUCCAACAAUAAUUCAUAUAUAUAUAUAUAAAUCAAGUAAAAGCUCCAGACAUAAGUCUAGGCUUAAUCGGAGGCAUAACUCAAUAAUGUUAGUCCAUAUAUAUAAAUAUAUACAUAUAUAAGUAUAUAUAUACAGACAUAAAUGAAAACCAUGGACUGAAGUCCAGGCAUACAUACAUAACACGACUCUUAAUGUGAAGAAUAAUGUGUGCAAAGAUGGAGAAAGGCUUUAUAGAGUAUAAGAAGGCUUACAGUGGGCUGCCAAAGAAGACUUCUAUGACACUAAGUGGAUGAACACUUGGCUCCCGCCGGUAAAAAUAUAGCUAUAUGUGAGCUAACAAGUGUUUGAAAUGAGAAAGCACUCAAUAUGGGGUGUGUACAGAGCAAAUUUGACAGGGCUUCCUUGCCUUUUCCUCUUGAAUUAUGGCCACCCCAAGCUUUAUAUUUAUAGAGCUGGUGGCCGCAGGUGUACCUGCGGUAGCCGCAGAUGCACCUGCGGCUGCUCGGGGUGCCCCGGGAUGCCCCGGGCUCCGCGGGUCCCGCCGUCUCAAAGUACAUGCACUCGUGCACUGUGAUGUCCGCUCGAACUUGCAGAAUUUCAAUCUGAGCAUCCGAUUGAGGUGUAUAAGAUCUUUUUCAGACUACCAUUGUCGAGAGUUAUGCAAUGACAUGGGAUUAUAGGUUGUACGAAGUCAGGAAGAGGGGACCAUGCCCAUGGUCUUCAAGCUUUAAAUUUUAUCCGGUGUGCUGUCCUGCGUAAUAGUCACUCGAGAUUGGAACUCCUUGUCUCUUGUGGGACAUUGUUGUGUAGAAAUGUAUGUGUAAGAUGUUGAGAUGGCGCGAUGUGGGGUUGAGAUGGCAGGAUGACGAUUUUCCCCUCACCGGGGUUAUCUCCGGUUUAGGCUGAUAAAGCAGACGUUGCUCAGGGUUAUCUCUGAGAUUGGACUGCUGCAAGUGUUUGAAUUCCUCAAGGUCAUCUUUAAGUGUGCAUGUCUUCCCGGUGUUAUCUCUGGGUCUUCGGAAUGAGUGCCUCAGCGGGAGUUCCGAGGUUGAGGCUGAUUGCAUGCAUUUGAAACAAGCAUUUCUGGGGUUAUCACCGGAACUGCAAUGACAUUCCUUGGGGUUAUCUCCAAGGAUGAAACUCGGGGUUAUCUCUGAGGUUGGAACUGAUACUCUUGGUGUGUGUUCCGGGGUUGAGACUGAACUUCUGGUGGUAUCCGGAAUGGAUAUGAGCUGUCUUCCAGGGUUAUCUCUGAAAGACGAAUCUGCCCUCCUGCAAUGUUAGUAACAGGUGUGUAGAAAAUUUUGAGUGUCUACACCAGGGUUUGAAGCCCUGCUCGAACCUCCUCGCCUUCCUCUCCUCUGUAUCCACCUAAUGUGGAGGAAACCUCGCCAGUUCAUUAAACUUGGCAACAUAUUGGGGAACAUUCAUUUCCCCUUGUUUCAGCUCUAGAAACCUCAUCUCCACCCUCCCUUGCAUACUUGUGGAUAAAUGGUUCUCGAAGAAAUCUCCGUGAACCAUUUCCACGUUAGGUUUUCUAUUCCCUCCCUAGCCUGGUUUGUCUCCCACUAGAAGUUGGCCUCUCCCUUCAUCACAUAGGUAGCAAAAGAAACCUUUUGCCCCUAUUCAAUAUUUGCAAUAACAAAUGCCUUCUCUAUUUCUUUUACCCAAGUCUGGGCUUCUAUAGGGUCUGUAGUUCCUUUGAAUUUCGGCGGACCUACACUCUUAAAAUCCUUAAACGUAGUAGCCCGUACUACUUCAGGAUUUGCAAGUAUAUUUGCCCCAUUUCUAUUAAAAGUAGCCGUUAAUAAAUUAACGAACUCUUGCAUUGGGUUAACCGGCCCCCCUUCCGGUUGAUUCACAUUUGCUUCUUGAUUUCAUUGUCUUCUUCUUGGCGGCAUCUUUCUGUUAAAAUAAAUAACACUUCAUUAUUACUUUCUUCUUGUUAGUUAGUUAUUAUUCAUUUAUUUAAACAAUAACUCAUACUCAUUGCACAACAUAUUCAACAAAAGGCUUAUAUUGAUUUUCUUCUUCCUUGUAGUAUAAUACUACAUCAUUCGUCAUUCCACAGCCAUAGCUGAUUACAUUACUUUCCCGCCAUUUCUUUCCAAAAAUUGGGAUUUACAAAAGACUACACUUUGAUAUACAAAAGAGGGUUUUAUGUCACUACAUAGGUAUAACAUAUUUAUAUAUCUAACUCUACUCUAGUCAUUAACUAGAUUACAUUUGCCUUAUGGCAUUCUCAUAAUCUGCAUUGGCAAGACCAGCUAUCACAUCACAACUGAUAGUAUGUCGAGUCUGUCCUACCUCCACAUGAUACUCAGCCACUUGCCGCUGAAAGUCCCCGUGAGAUCUCCUAUGUAUAUAGGACAUCCUACUAACCUUCUGCUUCUUGGUCUUUAGCUCAUGCCUAAGCUCAAAGACCUCAUAUUUUAGCUCAUGGACCUUGUCCUUGUUGGGAUUUUGGCACAUCAAAGCAACGCAAAGAGGAAUAUAAAUUGAACAAAACAAAAAUAAUUUCCGAAAUCCAAAACAGGAUCCAUGCGAAACAGAUAUUAAUUUAGUGUUAAGAGAUUAUACCAAUUAUGAAAUCGCUUCUGAAACACUUUGAAUCUCCAACGUAAUUCCUCACAAAACUAUGUCUCUAUGGUAUCCACACAAAUGCAUGCGAACCUUCGCACGAUUCUGCAAAGGGAGCUACGGUACUAGCCACCAAAGGAACAAGAUUUUUGAUUUUCUCUCUAGUCUCUCUCUAAGAGUGGCUAGGGUUUUGGUUUAUGAUUCUCUACCUAAAUUGGCUGAUAUAUUAUCUAUAUAUAGCAGUGAAAAAGGAUUAAUCAAAACCUAAUCCAAUUAAAAACGUAAAAUCCAAAUUUAUAUAUAUUAUAUAUUAAUUAAGUCUUACUUAAUAAAUAUACAUAUAUAUAUAUAUAUAUAUAUAUAUACAAAUUAUCCUAUUAAUUUAAAUUCGUAAUUUAAAUACUAUCAAUCAUAUUGAUAUAUUUAAAUCCUUUCAAUUUAAAUUAAUUCCCUUUUAAUUACGUUCUAUGUGUGUGACCCUAUAGGUUAUUAUUACGUUAGAAAUAAUAUUAAAAUCAUAUUAUAAAAUUAUAAAUAGUGAGCGUCAUCUAGUAAUGCAUCACUGCUACCCAAGUAAUAAUAAGAUCGAUGAUUCGAUGCAACCUUUUUGCGACCAAUGUUACAAUGUAAUUUAAUCCUUUUAAUUUUGACAUCCUAGAUUAAACUCGAGUCAUGGAAUGUGUCAUACUCUUCAUAAUUUAAUCUGAGUUUUCUUGAUCAAUGAGUAGACUAUAUGAAACAAAUCACUAUUCGAACAUGGCCAUACAUUUCAUAGUCCUACUCAAUCAAGAGGCCUAUGGAUAUCACCCCUAAUAUAUAGGAGGGUUAAAUUCCAUCUAGAUCAGUCAUAUUCUUCACACAAUUCAUGAUGUACCCAAUAAUCACCUUUAUAGUCCACCCUAUUAAAGGUGACCUUUGAUGAAAUCAAAGUACAUAAAUUCCCGUGUAGUAAUAUAGUGAUUUCAGGUCGGAGGAUCAUUACAUCAUUGUCACUGUGAGAAUCAUUAAUGACACUUUGCAUAAUGCUCCACGUAGAAUUCUCAUGGUGGGUCUGUCCAGUACAUCGUUCUCUAACAUAUACCUAUGCAUUGACUCAAUAUCUCAUAUAUUUAUGACCAAUGAGAUUUGGUCAUCAGUCAAUCCACAUACUAGUCUCAAUGCAUCAUUGCUAUCCCAUCAACAAUGAUACUUGACUAGGGACAUUUAAGAGCAAUGAUACUAAUUUUUAUUAUAUAAUCUCAUAUUCAAGUCACAUACUUGAAACUAUAUAAUUUGUAUCACUAUUCUAAGGAAUUUUAUUAUGUUAACAUUUAUAUAUUACAGUAAAUAAAUCCAUAAUAAAAUCAUUCAUUUAUUCAAUCAAAUAUAAUAUCAAAAUGUUAAGCAAUUAUAUCAAAUAAUUGGCCUCUAGGGCAUAAACUCUAACAGUCCUUCGCAAAAACCUUCCCGGCGUGCUCUUCUUCCCACAUUGUCUCCAUGCUUUUCUUGUCCUGCAAGAUAUCAUAUAUUUCUAUCUAAUACCAUCAUGAACAACUCCUUUAUUGACUCCCUCGGAGGCAUCUCUUUUACAGGUGCUACCGUAUUAAACGACACCACAUCCACCUCCUCCUCUAACAUGCCAUCAAACAAGGACACGAAUUCCAAGUUUUUAGAGUCUUCUAACUUAACCAAUACUACUUCUGGAAACUCAUCUACAGCUAUCGGUAAAAUCUCUACUUGAUUCACAGACUCCUCACUAACGACAUGUAUAUCCCUAUAAAUCACGUUACCUCCUGACAUCUACAACAAAAUAAUUUAGUUUAAUUAGUAAACAUCAUUAGCAUAAUAAAAACAUAUAUCACAUUUAAUGCAUUUUUAGGGUUAAUUUCAUCUUUUACUUCUUUAACUGUUCUUAAGGUUAUGGCUUAAGGUUCUUUUCCCCCCCUUAAGUUUUAUAACAUAUGGCUUUGAUACCAACCUGUGACGUGAUAAGUAGGUUAUAUACCUACUUAUUGGGUGCUAACUCACGAGAAUUAUGCUCAUCUCAAGUAGUUUUUAUUAUAUUUUAUUUGCAUUUUAUGUUUAUUUUGCAGUAUUUGUAGCUGGAACCCCUAUGGCAAGGAAAGGCAUGGAAAAACAAGAAAUGGCAUGGAAUGACAUUAACAUGGCAUGGUGGCAUUGAACUAGCAAUAAUAUGGCAAGCUGAACAUGAGUAGGUGAAGAACUGGAGUAGUGAAGGAAUGAAGUACAAAAGAGAAGAAGUAGCAGAAAAAAACAACAACAAAAAGCAGCAGAAGACACAGUGUAGCAGCAGCGCGGUCGCGCUGCCAUUCAAGCUUUACAUGGCGCACUCGCGCCACAUGAAGACAGAUACGUAUUUACACCAUCGCGCGGCUGCGCUCCAACAAUACAGGGCUUUGGCGUGCCCACACUAGGCACUCGGCAGAUAAUCACAUGGGACGCCCGCGCUCGUAAUGCAUUACAACAUCGCGCGGCCGCACGAGUCUUCUAUAGUUAAUUUUUGCUGACUUUUUAUAAUUUGAAUUUGAGCAUGUUUUGCUCAACUAAGACGAUAUGGUUGGCACCAGACAUGGUUUAUCAUGAGUUUUUAUCAGUUUUUAUAUUAUCAUUAGGGUUCUUAGGUUUUAGCUAUUCUAGAAAGGAUUUUGAGCAUUUGAUUACUAGAUUUUGCUCUUCGCUUAUUCUAGAUUACUAAAUAAAAUCUAGUUUUCAUUUCUGGAGAUUGUUGAUGAUUUGGACAAGCCUGGAACAUAACUUGCAGCAAGAAUUUACAGAUUUGAUUCUCUCAUUUCUUCAUAACUUUUUGUUUGCAUUUUUAAUUCCAUGAUUUGCUUUGAUCCCAUAAUGGCUUUUGGUUCAAAAAUGAACUAAACUCUAUUAUGGGAUUCUAAUGGAUUUUGAUGCAUAGUUUAAAUAUGUAUAUCUGAUUGUAUUGUUGUAUAUCUAUCAUUGGAUUGCCCAUUAUGAUUAUGCAUAAUGCUUGAAUGCUUGAUCACCAUUCACACUAAUUGCUUAUAUGGAUUUGGAAAAUGAAAUAUAAGUAUAGAUUAUAUCAUAAUGACAUUGUUCAUGAGGCUGAUUUGUUUAGGCUUUGUGAUUCGUGAACCAGAUAGGCAUAUACCGUUUCACCAGGUGUAGUCAUGAAGAGAGCCUGCACUUUAAUUCAUUAUUGCUGCAAUUUCACGUAGACAUAUAGUGAUUUUGGUAAUAGUGAUGCUUACAUGAAUUCUAUCGAAUGUGGAUUUUUUGUAAAUUAGACAUAGUUCAUUGAAAAAUGGUUAUGCUCUACUUUUGUGCUCUUGACUACCUUUCCAUGAUAAUUUAUUAAAUACUACAUGAGGGUUGCAGUUUAGAUGAAACACUGAAUGAUAUUAGAAUCCCAUUGUUCUCCACUUUGAUUAAAUUACUUUAGUAAUUAUAAUUUUUUUUAUUAAUUAAUUCAAAAUUCAAUUUAAUUGUGAGUUGAUUGUUUAAGCGUAUAGAAAUAGUGAUUAAGUUGUUGCAUGAUAAAUUAGAGUUAAUACCUUUCUCUAUGGAUCGAUACUUUUCUUACUCUGUACUACUUGUUGACCCAUAUAUACUUGCAUGAGUUAGUGUCCUUUUUGUUAGAUUAAAAGGAGGCAACAUGACGCCCCCAAAUCAGGAUAUCUUCCAACCCGACAGAUGGUGCUACACGGUGCUACAGUUCACAUGUACAUUCAAUUAAAAUAACUCAAAAGAGUGAAUAUGUCUUCUAUAUAUUCCAAAACAAUAUUCCCUUUCCCAGGUUCUUUGUAACCAUUACAUAUGUUCUUUGUCAUAAUAUCAAAUAAUUACAACAUUCACAUUAUACUAUUACGAAGACAGCUUAUUAGCCUGCCUUAGCCUUCCCUUUAUCCUUAUUGGAUCCUUCAUUUUGUUCGGUCUUAGCUGCAUUCAUAUGGUUCAAGCAAGAGUGAGCAUAACUAGCUCAGCAAGUAUGACAAUUUCAUUUAAGCAACAUGCUUGAAUCAUAUAUCUUCUAUAACUGAAUCAAUAGUUAUAAAGUACUAUAGAUAAUUCAAAAUAGCACUUCUCUUUUCUUUAAAACGUUUCACAAUGAGAAACGUUCAUUAAACAUAAAUUUUGGUUCAAGACCUUGAGCAUUUCAUUUUUCUUUGAAAAGGACAACCCGACACCAAGUCCGUAAGCCUGGUAUAUCUUACGAGCACGUCUAGGUGAUCAGCCUAUAUUACUCUAUGUUGUAUAACACUACUUUAAACGUAUCUACUUUUAAGUUUUGGCAACCUCAAGUGCCUGUCAUUUGAUGACAAAACAUUUGUUUACUCAUACUCAGUCUUCCUUUGAAAUCCAUACCAAAACAAUUGGCAAAAGAUAACAACAUCGAUAACAUUUUGAUAGAUUAUAAGGAAAUCUACUAAACACAUUAAGUCUAGCCGAAGAAAUUGGCUUCGACUUCAUUAUAAAUCAAUUCAUGCGUAAGAUACAUGAAUCACAAAGCUUGUCCAGAAUGAACAUAGACAAGGGUUAGAACAUUUUCCUUCAACGUCUUCUAUAGUUAAUACACUUUUCCUUUGAGUCUUUAAGAAUUGUACAAUACAUAAUCACAUAACACACCAUAUUAGGUCAUAAUAAUCAUGUAUGGUCACUAAUCUAUCUUACCCUUCUUCUCAAUCUACUCAUUCAUUAGAUUCAUUAACAUUCGUUACGGUUCAUCGUAUUACUUUGUAUUUAUGUUCUCAUAACCUUUUGUCAAUCUUUAGUUAUUAAACUUAAGGUUAUUAUCUUCCUUAAGGACAGUACUUUAAGUUAUUAAGGUAAUAAUUCACCAUUAAUCAACUUCUAUUUGCUUUACAUUCAUUUUUAUUCUUCUCUGGCUCUUCCCUAGUGCUGGAGCUGUGGCGCCAGCUUUCUUUAAUAAACCUUGUGUUGCGGCGCGACUUGACAGUGAAUGAUCUGGUCUUGGCGCUGCGACGCCAUUCCCUUAUGCUAUAGCUGAGCUGCGGUGCCACUUCACAGAGGCUGAGGGUUAGGCUUGGAGCUGUGACAUCGACUUUAUACCCUUGGGCCGCGUUGCAGCGCCGACCCUGAGCCUCAUAUCAAUUUCACAGUUUUCUUCUUUUGUAAAUUUCCCGGACUCGUAACUUAUUCAUUCUAAAUCCAAAUUGGCUCGUUCAAAAUCCGUUAGCUCACAUAUCACAUGUUUUAUGAUUUCAUUAGAAAAUCUUACAUUUUUAAAUCCGUUAACAUGGAAUUCAUCGAUUAAGUUCUUUAUUAUGAAUUCGCUAAACGUUCGUGAACGUUCACAGCUCGUUUCUUUGUUUUAAAUUAGAAUUUGACCAUUUUUGAGUUCGCAACUCUAAAAUGCAAACUUAUACUAUUCUCCAUCGAAAACCAACAUUUUCGAGUUCAAGGGUGACUUUUGACCUUCAUUCCGAGAUUUUCACGAUUUCGACGAUUAUCGUCUAAUCUCGUAAAUUUUGCUAUAACUUCGUUACUUGAGAUUUUUACUCCGUUCUAAAUGGAUUUCUUUAAUUAACACAACAUAAAUCAUCUAAGCCUACAAAUGAUGGUUUUAAACUUGUCCAUCAACAACAAAAUGACAAUUCUUCAAUGUUCUUCAUUAGUUCAUAACUUUUAUGAUUAUGAUUCACUUACAACAUGGUUUAUUAAGGCUUAGGUCCAUUAAUAAACAUCCUUGUUCCUCCUUAUGGUACAUGCACCACCAAUACUCACUUCUCUAUUAAAUUAUAAUUGAAGAGAUGGAGAAUAAUGGUUUAGGAUUCAUUACCUUUGAAGUUCUAGCUUUCUUUUCUUCUUAUUUGAAUUAUCAACGUCUAGCUCUUCUCACUUUUCUUUCUCAAUAUAAUUGCUCUUAGAUGUUGGUGGAAUUUAAAAAACCAACAAAUUAGCAACCAACCUCUUCUAUUUAUAGGUUUUACAAAGUUAGGGCAUAAUAGACAUUAUCACCCACCUCCUUACUAUUCAAGACUUGGGCAACAAAACUCUUAUCCCUUUCUUGGCCACUAAGUUGGCCAGCCAUGACUCACCAUGGGGGGCCCACAUGGGUUACCCCAUGGGUUUUCUUACCUAGUGACCCAUUGGCUCGAUCCACGGGUUCGGUUCUUGGUUUGGGCUUAUGUUUUAAUUACUUUGGGCUUAACAUUGGGCUUGUAUUAUUAAUGUUUGUGCCUUAGCAAGUUUGCACUUAGGCUUACCCAAUUCCUACAUAAAUUCUACAAGUCCAUUACAAUUAGCUUAAAGCUUUUAACGUAUAGUCUACGUAUUCUUCUCGUAUACUAAUCCAUAUACACAUUUAUCAUAUAUGUCAUUCUUCCGUAUACUAGUACAAUACUUCGUAUUAUACUCAUAUUCUUUAGUUCUUAUAAUACUUGUUUAUCAUACGAUCAUCAUUCAUUCAAUCUUUACUUUCCUUAACACUCUUGAACUUAGUACGCAUGCAAAAAACUACAUUCGUCAUAGCUGAAUUAUUAUUACAUAAUCCAUCCUUCCUUACUAUUCUAUCGUUACAUACUUCCCAGAAGUUCAAAAAUAAUUUUUGAGCAGAAAUAGAUGAAUAGUGUUUUUUGAAAAAUUUCUCAAAAAACUUUUAUUUUCGUCUUAGAAAUUCAAACACUUUGAUUCUUUCACGUAGCCAAAAUACUACGAUAUUUCGAUACUUCUACGUUAUAGAACAACCUCCAUCUUAUUUACUCGUUAUAAAUAACAUAUAUUAUAAUUUUAUAUAAUAACAAUUCUGGAACUAAUAGCAGAACGAAUCCGAUCAAAAGGAUAAAGAGAUUACUAGAAUAGCAGAACGAUUUAACGUCCGUGGAUUUAUGAGCAUUUAGUCACAUACUUUAUAAAAAGGAUAAAGGAUAAAGAGCUUUAGGCGAAAUUUCUAUGUUCAAUGGGAGAAAGUGCAUACUCAUGUUGCUCAUAAUCUAUGUUUUUAUCCAUUGAAUCAUUUAGUCACAUACUUUAUCAAAAGGAUAAAGGAUAAGCUCUUUAUAAUCCUCAGCAUAUGCGCUGCGAUCAUCUUGCUCCGUGUUUUUAUCCUUUUGAUAAAGGAUGCAUGCUCAUGAUCACAUAUAUGUGUCUCUAGAUAUAUGCAUAUACUAGAAAUUAGAGAACGAAUCCAGUGUGACAAAAGGAUAAAGAUUAGAGAUUCAUACUUUAGAUAAUUCAAGUUUAAAAAAACUCCAUAAUAAACCAUAAUGGAGAAAAUUCAAGAAUGAAGAUCAAAACAUGGAUUCAAUUUCAAGAAUAAGGGUCAAAAUAGAUAACUUGGAAGAAAAAAAAUAAUAUGAACAGUACCCGUGAACAGUAACUGUGAACAGUACCCAUGAACAGUACCCGUGAAUAGUACUCAGUCAUGAAAAGUUCCAAAUUUGAUUAAAAAUUUCAGACCAAUAUUCCUAUGAAAUGAUAUUAGAUGAAGCGAAAUUUCUAAUCAUUUCAGGAAUUAUAGAAGCAAUACUUACCAUAGUACGUUCAAAUUUAGGAAUACGAGAUGAAAUAAUAUUGCUUACGUAAUAUAGAGUAUGAAAGAAAAUAAUAUUUCUCACGAGUAUUGCAAUAAAAUAAUAUCCUUUACCUUAGUAGAAACUGGAUUUAACUGGAAUAUCUGAUAUUAUUCUGAGAAAAUCUUGCAGAAAAACUAGGCUCAAAGUAUUCUUAUACUCAAGAAAAUACUCACAAUACUUUAGAAUAAGAAUUUCUGAUUUGAAAGUAGUGUGUUGAGGAAGCAGGGGUUACCCCCUAUUUAUAGUGCAGCACGGAGGAGGAAACCAACUGAAUCAGCCUAACUCUGCCAAAUGUUUCCUUUGCCUAACCUACUGCACAAGCAUGCCUAACUCUUCCUUUGUUUUGAUUGGAUGUGGACCCACCAAUUAUUUGAAAACAAGGAAAUCAUUCCUUGCCUAACUCUUCCCAAGUCUUCUCUGCCAACUUCAAUAAUUCCCAUCUUUAUGGGCCCACAAAAGUUAGGCAACACUACUUGCUGACAUUUAUUCAAGCCACCAAAAUUUAAAAAGCAUUCACAUAUCCGUAUGUGUGUGUGUGCGUAUAUAUAUAUAUAUAUAUAUAUAUAUAUUAUAAUAUUAUUUUUUAAACAAUUAUAAUAUAUUUAAAUAUUUUAUCGGAGAAAAAUAAUUGCGAAACUUUGAACAAAUAACUCAUACUAAAAUUCCUUCAUUUAUAUCCACAUAAAAUAAAUAUUUUCUUAUCAUAUAAAUUAAUAAAUAAUUAUUCACAAAUAUUACAGAAUCACAAUAAUGACAACCAGGUCGUUCCCAGGAAAGAGGAGGCUUUUCGAUAAGGAUUUCUCCUUACUAGCGCACAAUUAGGUGACCAAACCUCUCCUUGACAUAACUUUCUAGACAUUUCCAAUAAUGUUAUCUAAUAAUAUUAUUCAAAUAAUAUGAAUUAUUGAUUUGAUAAUGAGAAAUACUGUGCCGUGACAAUUAUUAAAACAACAAUAAUAUAAAAUAUCAACGCAACAAUUAUUGAAUCAAUAAAAUAAAAUAUUGAACAGUAAUUACUGUAACAAUUAUUGAGUAGUGCCUUCUUACGUAAGAAUCAAUAAUUCAAAAAUAUUGUGCAAUACCGUGUGCUACUGUGCAACCACACAUAUUACUAUAUUUUAACCACCGGGUAUUCCAACAGUGUUAACGGUAACGAUUACGACGUUAUUUAUACAAACUCAAAUUUGUCGUUUUCUUCAUCCAACCGUUAUUCUGUUAUGGGGCCCACAAAUGACUGCGCCGUUGUAUGGAUAUUCCCGAUAAAAAGAAUAUUCCACGAACAAACAAAUAUUCUCCGACAAAAGGAAUAUUUUAUAACCACUUGCUUAUUUUGCAAAAUUUGUACAUUUCACCCAUAACUAGAGCAUUAUAUCAAAUUAAUUCCUUAUUAUUUCAAGAUAAUAAAUAGAGAAAAUUCAAUUUUAUUUAUAAUAAGUUGGGGUCUUACAAAACAACCAUGCCUUCAACCCUUGCUCAAAACGUCUCGCCUUCCUCUCCUCAUCCACAACUUGGUGCUCUGCAAAUAGCGCUAGUUCAUUGAACUUAGCUGCGUAUUAUGCCACCAUUAUAUCACCUUGUUUCAACUAUAGGAAUUUUACUUCCAUCUUACUCUUCAUACUUUUCGGAAAAUAAUUCUCGAAAAACAGCGUCGUAAACCUCUCCCAUGUUAUCGUUCCUUCCCCCGUUCUCUGCUAAUUAGUUUUCCAUCAAUAGUUUGCUUCGCGCCUCAUCAUGUAUGUGGCAAAUACUGUCUUUUGGUCUUCACCCACGCGAGCUAUAGUGAAGGCCUUCUCGAUCUCCUUGAUCCAUGUUUGCGCAACUACCAGGUUAGUGGUUCCCGUGAACUCUGGGGGUCCUACACUCUUAAAAUCUUUGAAGGUCGUUACUGGGACAGCUUGGGGAACGGGUGGUACGGGUUUAUUUCUUCCCCUCAGAGCUUCUCUUAAUGAAUCUACCAAUCUCUGUAUCGGAUCUAUAGGACCUCUCUCAUCAUUAACUGACUCUUCUGGGACAGUUAUUCUACGUCUGGGCGGCAUUUUCUGCAUCACAAAAUUUUCAUUUUAUUAUCUAAUUAUCAUAUUUAGACAUUUUUCAAUAGAAAAGAACUACAAGUUUAUAACACGUUUCUGAAAUAAGAUCAUUUAUAUUCAUAUGCCAAAUGGUUACAUUACAUGUUCUUUUCUAGCAUACUGCUAUAAACGAUAUCACAUAUCCCCUAAUAUCACAAAAGACGGGGACAUACUAACUUACUACCCCUCUAACACUUUUCAGAAGUUUAGGGGUUUACCACUAUCUCACAUCUUACACAAAAGAUCGAGAUUACAACAACAUAUUAACAACACAUAGAUAAAACUACUACACUACUGGUCUUCAUUCUCUAGACUCAAUCUAACAUCCCACGCUCUACGAUGCUCUGAUAUUACUUCUGUGUGAUGUGCACUACCAUAUCCCGACUUAUAGUAUGUCUGGUCUGUCCUUGCUCAGCUGGGUAGUGAUUUACCCCAUCGAUCAAUCUCUUCAUGGCCGUGCGUAACGCAUAGCCUAUCCUAUUCAUCUUCCUCCGCUUGCACCACACUUCAUCCUCUAGAUCAUCUACCCUAUCAUUAGCUUCCUCCCACUUCUCCUCGAAGUGAAUCCUAUCCAUCACCUCUAUCUCUAACUAAGUUCAGAGAGCUUCCUUCUCCGCCCUCUCACUCAAAACCUUCUACUCUAAUUCCUCCAUCUUUCUUGCCACCUCAACAUUCCUCGCCACCGCUUGGUGAAACAAAGCUCCCAUCUAGAUCCCUGCUUCCUUACGGUGAGGAAUCUCCACCUCCAUCUCCUACAUCUAGUUGCCUCUGAUGGUCCUCGUCCCUCAACUUCUGGAAUGCAGACUCCGUCUCCCUAGCCUCAGCCUCUAGCUCCUCCACUUUACAUCCCAACUCCAAUAUCUGCUCCUCAUACUCUCCUAACAUCCGAUCUUCAAAAGUAGCCUCGUCAGAGUCCAUCAUAGGCUCGGGCUCCUCCUCCAAAGGCUCCUCCUCCGUAUCAGACUCUACCUCUUCCUCAUCGUCAUCAUCAAAAGGGGCUACUAUUGAAAUAGGCUCCGCUAUCAAGGGUGUCUCAUAGACUACGUGGAUAUCACACGGCUCCUCCUCUACUACUCGGCUAGGUCCUCAAUGUCAGUCAUCCUACAAUCACCAACAUAAGCAACACAAACAACAACUUCAUUAGAAUGUUAAAUAAACAUAAGGUCAUUAUAUAUAAUGAUGUUACAUUUCAUAACACACUAAGUCUCUCAAGGAAAACUCUACAUGAGUUUUAUCUCCUUCCUAACUUCUAGGUUUUCUUAAGUUAUAAUCUAAGGACUCUCGUUCCUAAGGUUUAUAACUAUAGAUUUGAUACAACAUGUGACACCCCCAAAUUCAAACCUCCACUUGGUCACUCAAAUUUGGUUUCAUCACGUGCUCAAAGUAUUACCAUAAUAACUAAAUUCAUACAUUCAUAACGGAAAAUCUAAAUUAGAAUAAUAUACAAUGAUUUAUUAUAAUUAUUCCCCCAAGUCUCGUAACCUACAGUACUUAAUAGAUUACAUAAUAGUAUCGAAUAAAGACCUAUUACAUAAUCCUACUUAUGUUUAAACAUAGUCUGCAAAUAGUCUUAACAUAACAUAAUAGUUUUUAGACAUAAAGGAACAAGCUAGUCGGUAGCCUUGCCCUUGCCCUUGUCUAUUCCAGAGACACCUCCCUAUUCCUCCUUAACUGAAAGGUUUUAAAUAAGCAAGGAUGAGCACAAAUUGCCCAACAAGUAAUAUACAACAAGGGUGUAGGAUAUAAUAUCAUAAGGUUUGAAAUAUCGAAGUGUCAUUUCUGGGAUAGUUCAAAGUGUCAGAAAAUCAUCAUGGAUAAGGAAUAUCAACAAUUCUUGGAAUAAGAAUGACAAUUCAAUAUAAAUCAACAGAUAUAUAUGAAUAUAACGACUAACAAUGUAUCCAACUGGAUAAGCAAUUUGUACAGAGCAGUCACUAAGGACCAUUGAACUUCCACUAGAGUUACCAAUAUUAAACUGGUAACCAAAAAUAUCAAGUACUAUAGAUGAUCAGUCUACAAUACUUUACGUUAUGCAUAACACCACAAUAAUAUUUAUUCAUGUGUUGGGGUUUCCAACAACAUACACUCCCCUUACCAAAAGGGUUGUCCAACUCAGUUUUUCGAGAUUUUUGCACCAAUCAAUUGGUUUGGACAGCUUUUAUAAACAUGCAUAUAGUCUUAGCCAAAUUAAAUGGCUUCGACUCUUUCACAAUAUUCAAGAACAAUACUAAGUUCAACACGAAUAAUAACUUUCACAAGGGUUUAAGCAUAUUAGCUCAUUUGAACGAGAAUGUAAUAUAACUUGUAUUCAAAGAGAUAAGCUUACAGUAUUCGUUGAAUAAAGAAUGCAAUUAUAUUUGCACAAUAAGAGUAGGGUUCAGAUACUUGCUCAAAAUAAAUUUGAGUAAGGUUAUAGAACUUCCCUUAAGCUUAGUUUAUCCACGUUAAUAACUCAACACUUUCGAAUCCUAUUUAUAUCGUAUUAUAUGUUCAAGAUGUUCAUUAGCUAACACAUAUAUGUGAGUUCAAUGUACACAUAAACGUUUAAUUUAGAUAUAAGUUCAUACACAUCGCUUACCCUAUAUUUUUAUAGCACAAUUCAGUUUGUAAGUCAUCACAAUUACUAUAAAGUCUUGAUUGCUUUAUUUUUUGAAAAUAUUGUUUGGACUUAUCAUUUGGAAUUCAUGAUCAACAUUUAUCUCUAUUGCAUAGCAUGCUUCUGAACACAUUACAUAGCAUUUUGGUCAUGUAAGAUAAGUUAAUGUAAUCAUAUAGAAUGUUUCAAACAUCAGUUCAAAAUUAGAAUGCAGAACUCAAGAUUCGAGACUGGCGCAGCUGCGCUAUGGCUAAGCCUAGGAUCGACGCAGUUGCGCCAUCCUCUGACCCAACCAAAACUCAGCUGCUACCUUGUGGUCUUUGUCCGUCUUGAACACACUAUCAUACAUAAUAUAUUUUGGUAGGUUAAAGGCCUUCUCAUGCUCCUUAAGUCAAUCUAAGUUCCUUCUUUCACAAUAGAAUUCUAAGUUGAUCAUUUUAACAAGUUAAGACCAUUCAAGGUCAUGAAACCACAAAGUCUAUAAUGCUUGCUCUUUAACCAUAUAAGAUAGUUAUAAGGCUCAUAUUAGGCAUGAUUGUGAGUAUUCAUAACACAUGUAUGAAACUAACACCACUUUAGUUGAAAACAUGCUUUGUUUUAAAAUAUGACACACAUGCAUGGUAUAUCUAUGGUUAUACUACAUGAGUGAGUCUAACAGUGUCAUCAAACAUGAUCACAAAUGUCAGAUUCUAGUCCUCAAGGUAACUUGACCAUAUUCACAUUCAAAGCUUACUAGUAGGUUCAACAUGCUCAUGUUUCCUUACUAUUCACAUAAACACAAGCAAAUGGUUUAUUCAUGUAUUUCUAAGUUAUAUUAACAUGCUUGCAAAAUCAGAACAUACAUUAUGUAGAAUCACACAUGUUAGCUUACUAGGCUAAGCCUUUUCUUGAAACAUUUCUAACACAAGGCUUAAUAAGAAUGGUCAUGCUCAAAAGAACUAUGUAAACUAUAACAUUCUUAUCUAAGUGUAAAAUCAGUCACGUAUAGCUUACUAGGUUCAAAAUUUGCAGAACAUGAUCUCUAACAUAGUUUGUUUUCAAAACUUAAAGUCCAAACCUCCCUCUAAACCAUAUGCUUUCAUUAUUCAUGAAAAUCUAUUAAAACAUGUUCCACUUAGCAUAAUAUACUUAUACGUACACAUUACACAUGCUUGCAUGCUAUUAUAAGUCAUAGUACUAUAUCAGAUUUCAGAACAGAAACCAAAAACUGAACUCAGCAACCGGCGCAGUUGCACUGCGUCUCAAUACUAAUACGGCGCAGCUGCGCCACGCCUGGUUCGAGCCAGGAACAGUCUUCUUUGGCAACUGUUUAGCCCAAACACAAAAUUUACCCAUGAAAUUAAUUCUAAACACUUAUGUAUCAGUUUAAACAUACUCAUAAGGCCAUAUAACAACUAUAUGAACAUUACCCACCCUCAUUGACAUCAAAUUCUACAUAAUCAAAAAUUUAAAUUAUAAGAACUUAAAACUCUGUUUACAAAAACUAAAAUUGGAAAGCAUGGAAUAGAGUUAUACCUCUGCAAUAUGAAUGGACUUGCUACUAGUUGAACUCUUAAGCUCUUAGAACACUUGUAUGCUCUCAAUCUCACACUAAGCAAUUCUCAGACAACUUCAAGUAACACCAACUGAUAAACAUGGCUGCUAUUUAUAGGAAAAGUUUGAACUGGGCAUUGGUGUUACACAAGAUGGAAAUCCACGGUUCAAUGGAGUAGAACAAUGGUUGCUCAAGGGUUAGCCAACCACCCUCAAGCUCAGCCAUCAUCUCCUAUAACUAGCCUUUUGAAGAAUACGUAUUCUAGCUUGGAGUUACUAUUCACUGUACUUGGUGACACUAAUUAUGGGACAAGAGUGAAAAUCUCAGCAACAAGCUUAAUUGAAUCCCAUUUAGUUACUUUGUUAUCCAAAAAUGGUUUUAAUGUCCAAGUGUCACUAUAUUAGGAGAAUUUAGGGUUAUCUAUAUACUCACAUCAUAUAGUCCAUAUACAUUAAAUAUACGCAAUAAAAUACUACAGUCAGGUAUUAUUGUUCGGGUAGUUCCUUAAUUAUUUCUACCACUCAUAUAACCAUAUUAUAACCUUAUUAUAUUAACAAUUAAAUUUAUCCCUUCCCUUGAUUAAUUAUCACUUAAUAUAUUAUAGUUUCAUAAAACUUAAUAUAUAGUCACACAAUAUUACACUACACUAUAUAGUAUAGUUGAAUUAUUGCUCAUAUACACAUAAUUGUCAAUAAAAUAUUAUUAUAUUAAUAACUUAUUUAUUUUUGUCAAGUAAAUAAUUUAUUCACUUCCUUGAUUAAUUAACCUCAACAUUAAUUAAUUCAAUCAUCAUGUAUUUAUGGAUUUCCAUAAUCAUUAUUUAUCCAAAUGAUUCUUAUUAUACUUUUAUAAUUACUAGUGUCGACAUAAGCACUUUCUCGGUUAUAACUGUUAGUCCUUCUUCCAGCGUAACCAUUGGAUUCCCAGGAAUAGACGAAAGAUACUCGCAAAGAACAGUCAAGUGGAUGGAAAUAGCAUAAAUAGAGCCAAGCCUUCUCUAAAAGAAGCAAGUGCAAGUCACAGGAAAGCGGCUACUAGCUAAUGUUCGAAAAUCUUAUGCUCAUCAAAAUCGAAGAGGGACAUUCAAAUAGUUAAUCUUUCCCACUAGCUCAAGUCCCACUGCUCUUAUUCCGCUAAUGCCAGGAGAGCGUCUAAAAGGAUAUCCCUCUGGAAUUGCAAUUGGAGAAAAGGGGCUUUGGGGCAUUCUCCCCGUAGAUGCGGAGAAUCUUGCAAAGAGCCUAGUUGUACUACCAGCAGCCUAAUUCCCAUCUCCGUUCUAUCAAAGGCAUGAAGUGAAGGAGGUUACCGACUUUCGGUGGACGCGGAGCCAACGAGUUCAGUCGAACAGCGUAACGAGUCUAAGGUUACAGAAGCGUUCGCCAACUUUGAUAGGCAUAGCAUUGCAAGUAAAUAGAGCAGAGAGCUUACAUUUCGUUUUCUGUUUUUUAAAAAGAGCUAGUGAAAGCGAUAGCGAUAGCUUACAUAAAGUAGCAAGCUCUUCCAUUCUCUUCUCCUUGCCUAGUCCGAAAGCCGUAGCCAUCUCAGACUUUUCUUUUGUCGAGUGAAGUCCUGGAGUUACUGCCUUCCUCCUUUUGCUUUUGUCGACCUGAAGCUGCAGUGAAGGAGGGAAUGGAUUAGAUUACUGAGGAAUUCAAUAGCUCGACUGGAAAGGAGAGGUAGGAGCAUAAAAGAGUAUUUGAGGAAGUAAUUUAAGUCUCGGGAUCUUUUCUUGAAAGAGAAGGGGAAUCUUUUCAGCGGGGUAGAGGAAGAUAGGGCAGUAAUAGAGAGAAUCAACUACUACAAUACUGGCAUUCAUCUAUUCUAUGAGCAAAACUCUUUGUAUGGGCAUUAUUCUUUACAAUAAUCUUUUUUUGAAUCAAAUCAGAAUGUUGAAGCAAAUUCAACAUUGAGCUAGGACUAUAGCUCAGUCAUUUAAUCACAGUAGUAAGGUAGAAAAAACAGAAAAGGUUCCCUCUGUUAUACAAAUUUUUGUUGACUCAGCCGGGAGUGAAAGAGAAUCUUAUUCAAGUUCUCUAAAGUUAGUCUCAGUAGCUAGGACUGGUAGCAUGCUUAGAGGAAUAAACGCCAUUGAAUCUGUUGUAAGCGCAACUAUUAGAUUUCUUUUCUUGGCACGAACGGACUCCUUAUACUACUGUAAGCAUAUGAAGGAAUGGGCUUUACUCUCUCUUAAUGGAGAGAAUAAGUUCUACUCUUUCACUGGCUGCUAUCUUACUAAAGAGUGGUCCUCUCUUUGUUACCCUCUCGUCACUCGCUUCCUUUUAAGAAGACGAAGAGGAUGACACUGGGGAACGUUCUUACUUAAAGAAAUUCCCAUGAGCUGCCUUGAGCCGGUAACUCCAAAAUCGAUUAUUCUUGGCCACUGACUUACUGCUUUCAUUCAAAUGCCACUGAUGCGUAAGAUAUUGAGUUGGACUACUUUACUUCUGGUAAUGCCUUUCUUUCCCUGCCUUUGUGAUCUGUGGCACAACGAUCUUCUGGAAGAGCUGGACCUUGUGGUUUCCUGCGGCUCUAUUAUGAGGCUAAUAUCCUACUUCUUAAGUCUUUUUGUGGAAGGGGGGGCAGCUUCAUCAUGUGCUUCAAGAAAGGGUCUUCCCCUUUCAGGUCCUUUGACCCAGGUUCUGUUCAACUUCUAUUUGUGUGGUCUUAAUGUCUUUGCCAAAGCCGCCUUUCCCGAUCUUUUGUACGAACAUACAUGAGGCUUUUAUUCCUCUGCCAAGGGACUAUAGCAAGGACACGGACGCUUUCUUUCUAGGGCUCCCCGAGUUUGGCGGGCGGGUUUUACUUUAAGGUGCGUGCAUAUUUGUAAGGGUUGGUGACCCAUGCAUCUCAUGUUGUGGAGGGCUUUUGUCUGUGGAUCUAGAGUACAAUCUCACUCUACUCCCAAAUGGCUCCUUACUUUGGGGUGUGUGUGGGUAAGAGGGUUGACUGCUUGGUCGCUCAAGACCUUAUAAGCUAGAUUUUGGCUAAAACGAAGGACAAAUCUAGUGACUGGAGUGAGGUCGUAACAAGGUAGCCAUAGGGGAACCCUUGGCUGGAUUGAAUCCUUUUCCAGUAGAGCUAAUGCUUGUUGGGUAUUUUUAUUUGAGACUCUAUGAGAAAGCAAGAAAGAUAUAAAUAGAGUUCUCAUAUAUAGACUGAUCCCUUUCUAAUUCAAAGUCAUCUAGUCGAUCGAGAAAGCAGCGCCCGGGAGUGCCCCCAUUUUUUAGUUAUGCGUAGCUUUGCGGGCCGGUAAGCGUCUGAUGUAAGACCCUUUCUUUACCUUGACAGAGGGUGUUCAGUGCUGUAAGGCCAAACUCCUCAGUCCGUGUAAAGUCAAGUUAAGUAACCUGGUAGGACUGAACCUACGACCUAUCAGCUAAGAGAUGACCACUCUUCCUCUGAGCUACAGGGUGGCCCCCUUUUCCUAAAGAUCCUUUCAUUUUGUCUAACUCAGAUUACGUAUGUAAUUCAACUCAACUCCUUCUGUGCCUUUCUCUAGAUUAACAAGUUAGCUCGAUGGAUUUAAAACUAGCCCAAUAGAUUAGCUUCUUUUGUUUACGCUUCAGCUUGUUCCUUCGGGUUCUUUCGUUGCGAAAGGAACAUUCUGUUCUGAGUUGAAGGCAAGAGCUCUUUCUUUAAUAAAGGUUUGGAACCCUUGUAUAGUAAAGGAGCUUAGAGAUUUUUGCAUGGUCAAUUAGUGAGCAUCACAUCUCGGUCAAUCAAUCUGUCCGCUGAUCCACCAUUCUCUAUCGUGCGUGAUCAUACACAGCAGCAAUCCUUUCUUAUUGAAGGAAAUCCUAUGUGAUGCCGAUGCAUGAACCCCCCUUCGCCCCUUGAUGAGAAAGCUCUGUAAGCUAGCUCUUCGUUGGUUGGCCUGCCCCCCGGGUAAAUGAAUGUCAAGUGCUCCCCUCCUCCCGAAAGAAAGAAUUCCGUCCUCAGCCCUAUAGAGAGAGGGGAUGGAUAGAGGAACAAGUACGUUAGGCACCCUUAGUUUACCAACCUCAGUGACCGGCUCCUAAGAGUUCCCACCCUGGGGUUGGGUUGGGGUUAGGCUACUGCGCCAUGCAGGCCCCGGGGUCGGGUUGAGGGUGAAGCUCCUGACCUAUUGGUUGAUGAUAGGCUUCCUGUUGGUUGAGUUCUUGCCCUUGGCCUUGGUCCCAGUCUCGUCUCGAAUGUCAAAAAGUAUUUUACAAAGAAUGACUUGGUUUCAUGUAGCUCCUCUCGCCUUUCUAGCCUGCCUUGUGUUGCUAGGAAAUUGCUAAGCCUUUUUUCGAGGCUUUCACCCGCACUAGCACUAGUAUAUGGUGAUAUCCAACUCGAAAGCCCGAACAUAAAGAAGCUUACCUUAUUAUUAGAUAAAGAGGAAAGAGGCUAAAACCAAAGCUAAGGAGCUGACAACUACGAGACUAGGAGAAUAGGAAAGACUUGGUAUAUAAUCCGUGCCUUCGUUCCGGCUAUAGUCCAUUAGCAAGCGAGUAGGGGAACCGUUCCUUCUGUUCAGUAAGGGAAUACAAGCAUUACGGGAAGUUUGAUAAUAGGAAUAUUAAUAUGACUCUUCCUAACUCAAGUCAAGCAAAGCGUAGUGAGGAAGGAGGGGUUGAAAGCAAGUCAGUUUAUGAGGAAGUGGCACCGCCCUUCCUCCUGGUAAUCCGGCCAUUUUCGAACCUGUCUUUCUCACCCGCUUCUUUGUUUUCUUUGUCAUCCACUUUACCAGAGGAGUGGGAGUGGUGUUUCAAGGAUAAUAUCAAUUUCUUUUCUUUCAAUCUACUUCCUAAAUGUACAGCAGGGCUGGGAAAGGACUUGUUCUCCUAACAGAGCAGACCAACAAGUCUCGAACAUAUGAUAACAAGAUGCUCGGGCUAAGGCUCCAGGAUAACGCCUGGCUUUCCAAUUCCUUGAAGUUUCCUCAUUCUUGCUUGACAGAACCCUCCAGUCACGAUCAACAGAGAGAGAUUCAUGGUCAGGGAAGAUAAGGCUUUCCAUAUUAGUUUUAAGGGAAAAAAAAUCCUUUUUCCUCAAAGGGGAUCAUCUACCUCUUGCGAGCGCUUUAAAGUGGUUCAAAAUAUGAAUCCGCCUUUAGAAGCACUCAUCACAGGCUUUAGACGAGAAGUUGGAGUCCAAUCCUUCUUUGAACAAGGCCCGGGAUCGGGUGUAUCCUUCCACAGAAAGUUUGAUGGAGAUGUUGCUCAUUGACCAGCCUUUGAUCCUAGAAAGCCCGAGCAGAAGGUGUUUGCAGAAAUGAUUUACUGAAUCAAACUUUAGAAAACAAGCCCAAGGGGAACACCAAACUCUGCAUUGAUGUUAGGGGUGAAGAAACCCAAACAUUAUAAGAGCCCAGUCAUUCUAGCAGUGGUAAGAGAUCAAUAAAAACCCAUAUCUUAAUUUCAAAAAGUAGGAAUGACCCAGAUCAAGAUACUGCAGUCCAGUGUUCGUUGGAGACUAUAGGCUGUCCUUCAGCUUCUAAUCGAUUUGCUUCUCUAUAGACAUAGGAAGACACUCAUGAAGUGGACGAACUGGGUGAAGAAUUACUGGAAGGAGCUGAGGGUGGUCGUAGAUCAGGGCCCAUGAACCAGAUUGGAAAGGAAACACCUUAUGGUACAUUGACUAAGGCUUCUUCCAGGGUAGUUGAUGCAUAGGAAAAUUUGCAUGAUAAGUCCAGAGAUCUUUCAUAGAAGGAAAUCCACCCUCUUCCACUAUUCCAAUCCUACUAAAAUGAAUAGUAAAUUCUGGAAGGGAAGGAGGUAAAUACCUUCCUACGCACCUUUCGAACCAAACAAGGUCACGAUUGGCCCAGAAAGUCUUAAUAGGAUUAUAGGCGUAUCCCAAAGCAUGCCUGCUUUUAGACGCUUCUUUCGAGGAAUUGACUCCACUUAAAUUAAAGGUACUUUUAAUCAAACUGAAAGGAAAUAGCUCCUAAAGACUGAGUCCCUUCAACUUAAUUAGCAUAUGUAACCAUAUAACGAGUACAACAAAGAGGGAAGGUUUCGGGAAAUAGAGGGACUCUUCUCGUAUUGCAAGCAACCUUAAGAAAGAGUUCAGUCCCCCAUGCUGGGGUGGCCCCCCAUAAUUCACUCAAGUGAAGAUAUAAAAUGGGGUAGGUAGCUCUGAAGGUAGGAUAACAAGAGGCGUUUUAUUUAUUUUAUUCACGGGACCCUAGCGAGUGAAGUACGUAAGCCCUCGUGUAAGGGCGAGCACUAAAUUCAAAAGGCGAAUGAGCAGAGUGUGAUGCCUCUGUUUGUUCCAGUCCCACCAGACAAGUGAGUGGUCAGAUUAGAGCAAGGCGACCAGAGGCGAUUGGCUGUGAGCUCGAGAAUGCUACUGCAUAUUGGGUUGGGCAGUACCAAAGCAAGGAGGGGUCAGUUCCAGUCCCCUUACAAGUCAGAAAGGUAUUGAUGCAUUUCCUAUCUCUAGUCUUUCUGUGGUAAUGGGUAGACUCUUUCUUUAAGCCAGUCCCUUAAGACUAGUGUUGAGGUGAUCAUAGGACUAUGUCAACCAAGGUUGCUCGCAAAAGUAAAAUGACUAUGAUUUAAGAGUAGGAGUCAGACCUAACUUGCUCUCGCUUUCUACGACAAUCAAGCAAUGAGUAUGGAAGAAGAUAUAGUCAAGGGGAACAAAAAAGAAAGAAACCAUGGAUUGACCAGAGGGCUAGUUACCCGUUACUGCUUCAGGGAGUGACCGAUGCUAAGAGGGAAGCGAAACGCUAUGUUACCCGCGAGAUAUCCGUUUUCUUUCUUCCUGCAGUGGUAGCGACACUAUCGAUGUGUAAAGAUCAACUCCUACUUCUCUGUCUUCUUCAGUUAAGUUAGUUCAGCUGGGCCUAUUUGUAUAGCAAAGAGCUCCUUCUGUUACUCUUCUUUGUUGAAUGGAGCCGAGGUCGGCGAACGAAUGUUAUUAGCUAUUUCUUCUAAUUGUAUUUCUCGCAUUCUGCUAGGCCUCUGGGCCUAUAUUCUUAAUGAAAGAGCUAUGGACUGAAAACCUAAAGGGAAGUAGUUCCCGCAUCUGCUAAUUCAGUCUGUUAUGGAUUUACUGGCUUCCAAGUCAGCAAAGUCUAAAGGGAAAGCUAAACCUGGAAUUCGAGUCGGAAAUCUGUAUUAUCUUCUUAAAUAAAGCAAAGUAAAUCUAAGUAAAGUAGCUAGUGCAUCUCCUUUCUUACAGAACCUCUACUGCGAGGGAAUGGUGACUCUCUAUUGGGGCCUGGCCUGAUUUGCGUUGCUCGGCCGGCUUAAUCUUAAGAGCAAGAAGAAUCUAUCUUGCGCGGAUAUGGGAGCAUCCUGAAAUGGUAGCUCGGAUGCUCCUUAGCAGGCUGAUUAGUAUUAUGAAAGACCUUGACUUGUUUUGGGAGUCGAUCUACCCCAAAUGAGUAUACAGAAUAAUCAGUAGAACUGGGGCUGGCGGUAAUUGAUUAGGGAGUUGACCCGUAGGGGACGAACAAUUGAUUCUUUCUUUUCGAUAGGAAAGCAUCAGAGAGUUGACUCGAGGCUAGAGUUUUAAAAUACAAUAUAGAAGAUCUGGUCGAAUGGUAGAAGAAUUUAUGGGUUCGUUAGGAAUCGAUAGUCGUUGUCUAGACAUACGAGUCACAGCUGGCUGGGAAGCGGAAUGCCAAGAAAAAAGCUAAACCAACCAAACCUAAUAGCUAAUCUAAGCUAGCCGAACCUCAAAUAGAAAGCUUAGUCCCACCAAUUAUUUCUAGGGCCUCCAAUAAGCUUUCCAUCCUCCCAUCAAUACCAAAGACCCCAUACCCAGGGUCCAUACCAAAGAUGACUUUAUUCGGAAGCAUGAACCAACAACCAAUCCACCCGAUAAUAGAUAUAAUUGUUAUUUUCUUAUUUUUUGGUUAUUGGGUAUCAAUUAUUUUUAGAUAGGCUGCCACUUUAGAUCGGGAUAACAACCGGUAGUCACAGCUGCUAUUUUCUUGUUUAUCCGCUGUUCGGUUAUCAGCUGUUGUCACUAGGAACUAUCACUCUCCUUCGAGCUCCCUUCACGGGCAGUAUUCUAUGACGCUAGCCAGCGAGAACUUACACCCUUUCUAGUAAGAAUGGUUUUUCCUCCCCAUGUUUCCAGAUAUUGUGUGAACCGCAUGUUCCUAUUCUUCCUAUUCUAAUUGGAUUGAUUUGAAUUUCUAUUUAUAUGCCAAUAAGAGAGGCCUUUCUCGAGGGUUGUGAGGACCCCCAUAUUCGACCCUGUAAAUUGUCGAUGCCGAUAUAAGCUCAAAAGCAAGCAUUUUCUCGAGACAGAGAUAUGACCUCCCUACAGAUAAUUUUAACUCCAGUUUAGUUUGGACUCAACUAAUAAGGAUGCCUAUAUAUAAUAUACGAAAUCCUAAAUACAGGAAGAGCUCCCUCCUAUGUUUCCAACAACAACUGGCAAAAGAAUGAUUUGAAAAAGAGGGAACGGGAAGCGCUUCGCGAGGGUCUCGUUCGCACGACUAAAAGAAAGCUUUUGCUAAUCUACAGCAUGCUAAGGAGCUUCCUUAGAAUGAACAAAAAAAGCGUUACUCGUUAGUUCCUCUUGUUCCUAUUCUCUGAUUCUGAAUCUGAUCUGAUCCCGAACUCCGGACUAAGUCUUUCAGGCUCUGUAGAGCGUUAGAAUGCGUCUUCUGGUUAUUCCCAUCUGAUUCGUUAAACGUUGGUUUCUCAGUAAGAAGACCGCUGUCUGCUGGGAUCUAGUCCAUGAAAGAAAGACCUUUUCCGCUAUAGAGCCAAUAUGAUCGUAUGGAUCCUUCCUUGAAAGAAUCGCAAACAAAGAGUCAAUUGCUUAUUAGGUAGCAAACAGGAAAAGCAAACAAAAGGGGUCUCGGUCAAUCCUUUCUAAGGAGCCUAGCUUCCCAACCAUUGAACCGAACAACCCGGUGAUUCCUGUCUCAUUUAUCGGCAGAGUGUAACCCUUGCUUGUUCCUGCCUUAGUAGGGAAAGAGACCAACCAAAAAAGAAGGUCUUCCGCUUGUUCUGGUUCUUCCUAUUAUCUUGGUCGGAGGUAACUGUCAGCGAUUGGGCCAUAGGGCAAUGGGCCUGCAGCGAGCAAGAGAACUUCUUUUAUGCCUUUGUAGCUCUCUGACUUCUCCCGAAGACUAGUCAAGUAAGGAAGCUAAAGCAAGCCGAGCGUUAACCCCUAUUAGAAAGCCUACGUUAGCGCAUCCGUUUUCUUGCUGUAUGCUAUCGAUUUCAUCUCCUCUCCUUACAGUCGAGCGGAUUUCAUCUCCUCUCCUUACAGUCGAGCGGAUUUCAUCUCCUCUCCUUACAGUCGAGCGAUUUCACUCGUUACCUCAGCCCUCGCUUAGUUGCAAGGUCAGAUUCCGAAUCUCAGUUUGCAUCGGCAGGUUCAAGGCAAAACUACUAAGAUGAUGAAUCAAAGGCAAAGGGUCAAUUCACAUCGAGGGAUGAGCCUCAGGACCACUCUGACAUCUAACACCGCGAAAGGAGCGUCAAGUGACUCGAGCACAGCGGGAGGAGCCACAUAUAGAUGUAGACCAUAGCGAGAGGAGGAAACUAGCCCAUCCUUGCUAUCCAAAUUCCCUCGUUUCCCAUCCCAAGCGAGAACAUUAGAUCAUGGAUUAGCGCGAGUAGCGGAACGAGCUCUAUUUACGUCAUUCUCAGAGGCCCUUCACGCGGCUUGACCGAGAACGGAGCGUUCAGGCAGAGGCUAUCGGGAUUUUUCCAAGCCCAGCUCCGAAGCCUAUGGCUUCCUUUACGAGUCACGGGGCUAAAUGAGGAGCGCAUNNNNNNNNNNNNNNNNNNNNNNNNNNNNNNNNNNNNNNNNNNNNNNNNNNNNNNNNNNNNNNNNNNNNNNNNNNNNNNNNNNNNNNNNNNNNNNNNNNNNACAAACAAAAGGGGGCGCCUUCUCGGUCAAUCCUUUCUAAGGAGCCUAGCUUCCCAACCAUUGAACCGAACAACCCGGUGAUUCCUGUCUCAUUUAUCGGCAGAGUGUAACCCUUGCUUGUUCCUGCCUUAGUAGGGAAAGAGACCAACCAAAAAAGAAGGUCUUCCGCUUGUUCUGAUUCUUCCUAUUAUCUUGGUCGGAGGUAACCGUCAGCGAUUGGUCCAUAGGGAAAUGGGCCUGCAGUGAGCAAGAGAACUUAUUUUAUUCCUUUGUAGCUCUCUGACUUCUCCCGAAGACUAGUUAAGUAAGGAAGCUAAAGCUAGCCGAGCGUUAACUCCUAUUAGAAAGCCUACAUUAGCGCAUCCAUUUAAUUGCUGUAUGCUAUUGAUUAAGGAUACUCGAGCAGAUCUCUUACCCAUUCUCAUUUCAAGAGAAAGACAUCCUUGGUUAAGGUAUAGACUGAAACUGAUCCAACUAGUCAAGAAAGCAACCGUCCAUUUGCCCUCAUUUCACAAGUUGAGCGAAGCUUAGGACAGCAUUCAGCUUUCAUAUGCGUUUCUUACAGAUCGAGAUUCUUUGAUUACAACAUAGCUAUCAUCAGAAGCAGUACUUCCGAGUCACUCUAUAAUUGAGAGCUUGUAAUUGGGGAUUUACCAGAUCUCUAAGAUAGAGUCUAUCCGACGUAUCACCCGUAAUUGGGAGUUUAAACGAGGCCUCAAUGUAGAUGCUGGAUGGGAACUUCUAUUCUUGUUUACCUGGCUUAUUUAUAUUUGUAUUUGUAUCCCUAACUAAUAACCAAAGUAAUUCCACAAGAACAUGAAUGACUGUUUCUAUGUUGUAUGACUGGAUGUGCAUUUACCUACUGACUCCAUCAAAGAGUUAUUUCCAAGUUUCAAGCAUAUGGAUGUGGAAAACGGGGCCAAUGAGGUUGAAAAUCUGGAAUAUGUGCCAUUGGUAUGGUUUUUAUACGCUCUACUUCCCUAUGGUCUGUUAUCGACUGAAGUCCCUUUUAUUUCUUUCUUAUUUAUUCUUACUACUAUCACUUUAUAAACUGGGCCGAAAGAAGGAAACCGUGACGUAUCAGGGUCGUACGCCUGGAACAAGAAGGUUCGUCGUACAAUUUCGGCGAUUCAAAAAAGAAAGGAGUAUAUCCCUCUCCCUUAGUGUCUUUCCACUUCCGUCGUUCAGGAACAAACACUUCGCCUAAUUCUUUUGAAUCCCGGCCCGGUUUUUCCCCACUAACUAAUUACGUUACGACCACUGAACAAACUUGGUUGACGAACAUGGUUUAUGCGCCGCUAAUGUAGCGGCUUGUCGAGCAUUUGACAAACUCACACCAUCCAUUUCAAAUAGGAUUUGUCCCGUGGACACACGAGCAAUCCAACCCGUAGGAUUUCCUUUUCCUCUUCCCAUUCUGACUUCUGUAGGUUUCCCGGUAAUAGGGAGAUCUGCGAGAACUCUUACCCAUAUCUUACCCUUUUUUCGGAAUUGUCCGCUCAUAGCACGACGAAAUUGUCCGAUUAUAGCCCGAUGCGCUUCUUCAGUGGCUCGAUAUGAAAGACGACCAACUCUACCACUUUUAGUGCCAUAUCUUCCAAAACCAAGUUGUGUACCAUCUGGUUUGCAACCCCUACUACAACUGUCUUUACAAUAUUUACUAUAUUUCGUACAUUUCAGAUAUAACACGUCCCCCCUUUUUUUUACUAUAUGAAAUCCACACUUUGACACCUGAGAUUCUGUAACGAGUAGAUACUUCCGCAGGAGCAUAAUCUAUUUUCUGGUUAAAUACAUUAUGAGAUGUUUUUCCAUACUUUCUGCAUUCAGUUCUAGCUAUUUCUGCACCUUUUGAUCGACCUAAACAAUAUAUACGGAUCCCCUCCACCCCCUUUUUCAUUACUAAUGGAAUAUCCUUCACUAUUAUACUAAAAAUAGAACGAAACGAUCAUUUUUUUUUCCUCAGUUGAAAAGAGAUGUCUUGAGCAAUCGGAUAAGCACUUUGAUAAACAGAUUUGAUCUUGACCGACUCAAUUAAGGCAUUAGUCUUUGUUCUAUUAGACAACAAAGAUUGCAUUUUUUUAACGAAGUGAAAAUAAGAGUUGUACCUGUACAAAAUUCUUCUAUUUCUCAGUAUGAUCUCUAUCAUCAUCUCUAUUCCCUUUAUCAAUUCUCCUAUCCCACCUAGGUCUAUGAAUUUCUCUAUCAAUUCUAUUACCUUAUCCUUACCAUAAGUUUCCAACAUUUUUUCCUUAGUUUACAUAGGAGUGAUUCUUGGGCAUCCUAAAAAAAAGGUUCUUAUACACCCCAACCCCAUCCCUUGGAAAGAAAAAGGUAGCACCAAAGAAAGGAAAGAACGAGAUGGUGGUUUUUGUUGUUCCCGCGAAGUGAAGAUCAUUUGCCAAGAGAAUGAAGUGGGUCAACUUUUUUUUGGCUUCGGCCAAAGACUUUUUCUCGCCGGUUGAGCUUUCUACAAAAAAAAGCGAUGCGAGAACGUAUUCUCUUAUCUAAGCUUCUUCCCUGUGCAUUAGCUCCCCCCAUCGUAGAUGGUUCAGCCAUGCCCGUUGCCAAAAAAGGAUUGAGAACUACGACGGGGUAGAAAUUCAUUUUGUUCUUUGUAUUCAAUAAGUAUUGCAUGACCGAAAAAUUAAAGGAAGGGUGCACUGCAGGGAGGAGGGUCCUUUUAAGUAGAUGACUUGUCGGGCUGUCGGAGCGGGACUUCUUUGGGUUUGGGAAAAAGAACUUGAAGAACUUUGUUUUUCUGAAAGAGUUAUCAUUUUUUAUCAGGAACGCUAUGUCAUUUACAACCCCAGCGUAUUUCGGAUGCUUGAAGGCCCCGCUGACCCGAAGUGAUUUAGAAAGAUUCUUCUUUCUCGAUGGUGAUCGGUCAUGGUAUCCAUAGCGUUGCUUCUUUUUCGGCCAAAUCCUGAUUUUGUUUUGCUUCUCCAGGUCGUCGAGCCUUAUCAACUCGACUCUUUUCCCUGUCCCCUGGCCUCUCACUUCGUUUCGUUCUUUUUCUAUAUCAUCGCUUGAAUGAAGACAUCCGAUUGGCCCGACUUUCCCAAAUACCCACCACCGGCCCUUCUCCUUUCCGGGUCUGGAUUUUUUGCGUCAUUUCCGUCUUCUUGGUCGACGGGGAAGAAAGAAAUGAAUGAAUGUUCUUUUGGGAAAAUGUAGAAUAAGAUACCUGCUGAGAUGAAAGCCAAAGGUGAGUCUCGUAGGUGGACGUAUCGAACCGAAAUAAGAUCUUAGAUUAACAUCUUGAUAAACUGAUUUACCAUAAUAAUAAAUACAGUCAAUGCUGACUCUGCCAUGGGAAGAGCCGCUUCUUUCUUGCUUGA